AUGGAGAAGGAGGAGACCGCGGGUACGGCGGCGGCCGCCGAAUCCCAUGGGUCCGUAGCGAAGCGAGCACGGAGUGUCGACUGCGGCGUGACCACCGCCGACGAUUUCAUCAGCAGGCUCCCCGACGCCAUCCUCGGCACCAUCAUCUCCCUCCUCCCCACCAAGGACGGCGGCCGGACGCCAGUCCUCUCCCACCGGUGGCGCCACCUCUGGCACUCCACGCCUCUCAACCUCGAGGUCAGCACCCGACCCCGGGGCGUCCCCACCUCCUCCCGCGUCCCACCCUCCGCCGUCUCCGAGAUAAUCUCCAAGCACCCUGGCCCCGCCCGCCGAUUCUACUUCCUCUGCCGCGGCGCCGGCGCCGGCGGUCUCCACGCCCAGGCGGCGAGCUGGCUUCACUCCCCGGCCCUCGCCCACCUCGAGGAGCUCCAUAUCAGCAACGCCAACCCCCCGCUGCUGGAAUCAGUGCUCCGCUCUGCGUCCACCAUCCUGGCUGCCAAGAUCGACCAUUGCAAGUUCCCCUUCGAGAUCGUGCCGCCCAUGAAUUUCCGCAAUCUCAACAAGCUCACCUUGUUUAACAUUUCCAUCUCAGAGGAGGUCUUCCAUAGACUGCUCUCCGGCUGCCAUGCCUUGGAAAGCUUAUACAUGGCCGAUUUUCGUGCUCCGGGUCGCCUCCGUGUUAUCUCGCCGACUAUUAGGAGCAUCAUAUUCCGUCAUAGCUCUAGUAAAAAAGUGGAACUGGUCAUCGAGGAUGCUCCUUGUCUUCUAAGGUUACUAUUAACUGACUGUAACCGAGAUGAUUGCGUCACUAUCAGGGUAAUUAAGGCGCCUAAUCUGGAGAUAUUGGGCUCUUUCUUAGUGGUCGUCUCCAAGCUCCUACUCUUCAAGGGAAUAAGCUCAGUUAGCUCCACAAACUCGAUGCACACUGUGAAGGUUUUUGCUCUCAGGUCUUCUGGAGAUAAACUGGAUGCAGUUCUUAACAUCCUCAAGUGGUUCCCCUGUUUGGAAAAGCUCUAUGUCACUUUUCAUCUACGCAGGGAUAAGAGAAAUGAGCCUCUGUAUGACCCACUACAUCCAAUCGAAUGCCUUGAGACCCGUCUCAAAAAAGUGGUGUUCAAGUCAUUCUUGGGCAUUGGGAACCAGCUUGAAUUUGCGAGGUUCUUUGUCUUGAAUGCAAAGGUGCUAGACAGAAUUGAAUUUGAAGUAUAUAAUGGGUACAGCCGUGGAAAGGCGGCUUAUCUGCGCAUGCUGCUACAAGUGAAAAACAGAGCUUCCCGAGAUGCUCGGUUUGAAUUCAGGAUUAGCCCUACUGAAUAUGGACUGAUUGACAUGUGUUGA
rnacentral:rRNA from 1 species